rnacentral:rRNA from 1 species
AAGAAAGUAAAGAAGGGCGCAUGGCGGAUGCCUUGGCUCUUGGAGGCGAAGAAGGACGUGAUAAGCUGCGAUAAGCCACGGGGAGGAGCAAAUAUCCAUUGAUCCGCGGAUUUCCGAAUGGGGCAACCCGAUAGAUGGAAGGUCUAUCACACCGUAAAGGUGGGCAUACGCAGGGAACUGAAACAUCUUAGUACCUGCAGGAAGAGAAAAUAAAAAAUGAUUCCCCAAGUAGUGGCGAGCGAACGGGGAAGAGCCCAAACCGACGUUGUUGAGGCAAUGUCGGGGUUGAAGGAGUAUCACAAAGCGACUAUGGAGGUGACUGGAAUGCAUUGGAAAGUGCAGCCGAAGCGGGUGACAGCCCCUUACAGGAAGCCGAAGUUACGUGAGAUACCACCUGAGUAACGCGGAGCACGAGGAAUUCUGCGUGAAUCUGCCGGGACCAUCCGGUAAGGCUAAAUACAUACAAGAGACCGAUAGCGAACUAGUACUGUGAAGGAAAGGUGCAAAGAACCUCGAACAGAGGAGUGAAAUAGUUCCUGAAACCAUGCGCUUACAAGCGGUCGGAGCGGCUAAGUGCCGUGACGGCGUGCCUUUUGCAUAAUGAACCUACGAGUUACUGUUGUUGGCGAGGUUAAGACAUUAAGUGUCGGAGCCGAAGCGAAAGCGAGUUUUAAGUGGCGUAAAGUCAGCAGUAGUAGACGCGAAACCAAGUGAUCUACCCAUGGCCAGGUUGAAGUUUGGGUAAAACCAACUGGAGGACCGAACUGAUAAGCGUUGAAAAGCUUCCGGAUGAGCUGUGGGUAGGAGUGAAAGGCCAAUCAAACUUGGAGAUAGCUCGUACUCCCCGAAAUGCAUUUAGGUGCAGCCUCAGGAGUUUCUUAUGAGAGGUAGAGCGACUGAUUGGAUGCGAGGGCUUCACCGCCUAUCAAGUCCUGACAAACUCCGAAUGCUCAUAAGUUAUCCUGGGAGUGAGGGCGCGGGUGCUAACGUCCGUGUCCGAGAGGGAAAGAACCCAGACCAUCGGCUAAGGCCCUUAAAUGUAUGCUAAGUUACAUUAACGAAGUUUUGUCGCAGUGACAG